AAGGUGGCGCUCCAGCCGACAGACCGCCACUGCCCGAUCCCGCCUGGCCGCCGCGCUGCCUCCGCCAGGAAGCCAGCGGCUUGCCACGGCCGCACGUGCUCCCACCCAGUCCCAGUUCUGGUAACUGCGGGCUCGGUCCCGCGUGGGCCCCUGAGUCGGCCAUGGCGGUGGUUGAGGCGGAAACACGCGUGUUCCUGGAAGUGCGGAGACGGCUCCAGAGCGCGCUGCUAAUCCUGGGGGAGCCAGAUGAAGGAGGGAUGAACCUGGACAUAUCCGUAACGCCUACCUCUCUUUUGAUGAGAAGCCCUGACGGCUGCACCGAGAUCCGGCUUCCAGCAGGGGUCAGACUUGCACCUUCCUCGUGCGGCGGGCUGCAGUACAUCAGUGGAGAUGGUUUACACCUGCGCCUGCGGGCCCAGGCUGAAUCCAGCCCACAGCCGAUUUCAGGGUUUAAUCAAAGCUUGCAAGCCCAAGAAUGUUGCUCAUUUUAUUGCCAGUCCUGUGGUGAAGUCACGAUAAAGGACAGGAAGCUCCUCAGGGUGCUCCCCCUGCCCAGUGAGAACUGGAGCGCUCUGGUUGGAGAGUGGUGCUGUCAUCCCGACCCCUUCGCUAAUAAGCCUCUCCAUCCACGGGAGAAUGACUGUUUUGUUGGGGAUUCUUUCUUUUUAGUGAAUUCGAGAAGUGAUUUGGAGCAGGAACCAAAAGCAAAUACCAAAGUCAUUUGUAAGCGUUGCAAGGUAAUGUUGGGAGAGACCGUAUCAUCAGAAACAACCAAAUUUUACAUGACAGAGGUAAUCGUCCAGCCAUCUGAGGGAAGUUUCCCUAACAUACCAAGGUCUCAGUUUGUUCAGAGCGUUAUUGCCCGGUGCCUGGUGGAACUCUGCACUGCUAGAAGCACUUUCAGAUUCACCAUUCAAGGCCAGGACGGCAAGGUGUAUAUCUUGCUCUGGGUGUUGAACUCAGACAGUUUGGUGAUGGAACCUCUGAGUAGUUCCGGUUGUAUCAGGAAGUUCCCACUGUUGGAAGACUCAUUGGAAGCUGACUCUGGCUCUGCCUGGAACGCCAUCAAAGUCCUCUACCAGCCCUGUAUCAAAAGCAGGAAUAAAGAGCUUGCCAGCUCCUGGGAAGGUGACAUCAGUGUCCACCCUUUAACCCUGCCCUCCACAACCUGUUUGGAGCUGCUGUUGAUACUAUCGAGGAACAAUGCCUCCCUACCUCUGUCCCUUCGCCAAAUGAAUUCUUUUCAGAAGGCUGGAGAACCACACCGUCUACUUGCUGAGUUUGGAAGGGAGAUCAAUAAGGAAGGGAAUUCUUCAGACACUUCAAGGACAGGGUUGAAAACAUGCUGAGGAGGCAGAAAAUGUGACAGCAACCAGGGACGCUCUCUGUGGCUGUGGACUGUUUCAUAACGACAAAGGUGGCCUUUUUGAAGAUGUAACUGUGGAAGCUGCAGCUUUCUGGUCUACCAGCAGACAGCUCUCCAGCACAGAAUACAGCCAAGGCCAGCAGGUAGCUCUGUGAGCACAGCCUGCUGACAUGAACAAGAACUAAGCUGCAGAACAGGGCCUUGUGCUGAAAUUUCCAGUUUUUCUUGUUUGCAUUUAUUCUCUAAGAGUUGACUUUAGAUCCCUGCAAACUCAAGGCUACAAGGAAAGUCGUAGUGUUGUAGUAGCAGGUUGUCGGCAGGUUAAGUAUAGAAGUUGCACCUCUACUCCCACAGAGAGGAAUAUUCAAAUCGGCACUGCGUCAGCACCACCUGGAAGCAUAUUAGCUAAUGGAAACCCAUCUGUCCUGUGUGAACACAGCGAGGGAACUUCACUGGAGAGCUGAGUGUCAACUGCUCUAAAUCCUGGGAAAUAAACUUUUAAAGAGCUCCAGGUUUGUUUAAAGCAUGUCUUUAAAAACUAAAAUAUACAAGUUUUCAUAUCUUAUUCAAAGAAGAUGCUUGCUGGUUGGUUGUUGAGUGAUUAUCCAAUUAAAGUUUUCCUGAGGGCAUAAAA